rnacentral:rRNA from 1 species
UACGUAGGGUGCAAGCGUUAAUCGGAAUUACUGGGCGUAAAGCGUGCGCAGGCGGUUGUGCAAGACAGAUGUGAAAUCCCCGGGCUCAACCUGGGAACUGCAUUUGUGACUGCACAGCUGGAGUGCGGCAGAGGGGGAUGGAAUUCCGCGUGUAGCAGUGAAAUGCGUAGAUAUCGGGAGGAACAUCAGUGGCGAAGGCGGCCUUCUGGUCCAGUACUGACACUCAAGUGCGAAAGCGUGGGGAGCAAACAGG